GCACAAUUAACACAAGAUUUGGAAUUGUUCAAAUAAAUCAUAUAGUGAUGGGAGGGGGACCGGGAUGUUUUUAAAGCUGUGAGAAAGAUCUAAAGAGGAAAAACAUCUCGACUCUAGCCUCGUUUGAAAAGCUGUUCUUGUCUGAUUCUGGCUCUGUCAUCAUGGAUCAGAACCCGUGGAGCACGUGGCUCGCCGAGCAACAUAGAUUUUGCCGUAUACAAAGGGAUCCCAAAUAAAAAUUUUUGUAUGGAAAGUCAUAUGGAUCUAAGCUCUGAUCACCUCCCGAUAGUCAUUUUCUUGCAGCAUGAUACCGUGUUCUUCUCCCCAAGAAGGCUAACAUGUUGAUUUUUAAACGCAAGCUCGCUCAAGUUAUUGCAGCUGCUCUAAAAAAAAUACUUUUAAUUUGAAAACGCAAUUGUAAUCACAAUAUAUACGCGAACUUUUAUUACAAAUCUUA